GUUGGUUUAGCUCCAACAGUGCAAAAAUAUGCUCCCCUGAUUGGAACAGCUCAAAGCAACCAAAAGCAGCCUGGUUCAUAGCACUGAAGGGGUUAAACAUGCUGUGCAUGCUGUGAAAAAAUGUAAAAAAUAAACAGAAGCACUAACAUCACUAAGAUACUGUGAUGAGCAUUCCCAUGGGAAGUCCAGUGAGCAAGAUAAACAAGCAUUCAGGGAGCGGUACCACUUUACUUCAAUCAUUUUUUAAAGGGUUAGCAAGUAUAUCUAGAGCACAAGCUUCUAGCUGCUAUAGUGAUUUUAAAAUCUUGGACCCAUAAUCUUUGCACUACAACAUUUUCUAUUUUGCAGAAUACCUUCACUUCCAGAUGGGUUUAAUAUGUCAGUCCAGGAUUAACUUUAAGCUCAUGCAUGAAUUUCAGCUCGUGUUAUUGCCAGCAGUUAUAACAUGAUUGAACUGAGACUGGAUAGAGUCAACAUUUUGGUAUCUGAUGACGAUGGUGAUGAAAAAUAAACAAGGUUGCAGCAAACAGGGUCUCUCUUAGUCAGAGUUCGGCAAAUCAAUCCUGACAUUGAUCAAUUACUUGACAUGUUGAUGCUGAUAACAGUUUACAUUCUCAAAAACUUGUCUGGAUGAAUAGAAGUGGAACUAAAUGCUUGGCAAAAUGCACAUUAUUGAUAACUGCUCUUAACAGGUCUAUAGCUGGAAUCGUCCAUCCUUUCACAGACAUAUAAAUUAGUUCUCAUUUGAAUGCUAUGUUGGUUGAACAUAUGUAUCCUAUCUAUAGACUGUAUGGAAAACUUGGUUCUGCCUUCUGCCAGUAUAUGGAUUUGAAGCUGAAAAGCUCUCUGUAAUUCCAUGUUUUCCUCUACUUCCUGGAACCAACAUCCUGCAAGCAGUGUUGUACGCAUUUGGUGGGAGAGUCGCCGAGAGUCACUGUGAUGAUGCUCGGCUCAAACAGCGUGCUCCCCAGGUGAGCGACACAAUCUUUGUACACCCAUAGGUUGUAUUAAGUGUCAAUCACAGAAAACAUGAACCCCCUAAUAACUUUUAAAAAUGGAGCUGCACAGAAAAAAAGGACUUGAGCACAAACCAGUCUUACAAUAACAACAUGUCAACAUCACAAGCAGGGGGGAGAAAAAUGUAUAUUCUGUGUAACAAAUUUCUAAAGUUUGUCCACAGCACUAUAGGGAUGGCUGGAGGAGGCAGGAUUUCUGACCUAUACUACAGCCUGUCACCAGAGGGUGCUGUUCUUGGGGUGGCUUCACCCAGCGUGGAGGCAGACGGCAUUUAUUCUAUAUACAGUCUAUGAUCAUAUCCUUUUCCCUGAUAUUUUACAUUCUUGUAAUACAAUAUUAAAUUCUAACACAUGUAUCUAUUUUUUAAUGUUAUGGAAUUUUAAGUAUAUGUGUGCAAUAAUGGGAACAGCUGAAAGCAUCUAGUGUUUAAUCAUAUCAGUCUUUUUUCUUGCUUUGCACCUGCUCUUAAUUACAUCAACCCACAACAUCCAUUACUUACUCUUAAUCUUCUGCUCACAGUCAGAAUUAUUCUUUCUACUAAAGCCCUUCUGAGACAACAUAACCCUAAUUAUAUCACUUUUUUUAUGAUUCCUGCUUAACUCUUGCCAUAAUACUGUAUAAGCCGUAAAAUUAAAAUAUAAAUACAAUCAGAAGUCCUUUUUUAACUCCAGUAUUUUAUAUUUAUAGUUCAUCAGGUACAAAACAAACACAAACAAGGCCUUACACAGUUACAGAAAAAUGUGUCCCUUUCAAUCUGAACUCAGUAUUUAAGUUAUGUUCAUCCAUCACAUAGACUGCAGGAGAUUUUAUCUUUCAAUGAUCUGAACUGUGGAGAUUUAAUAAGAAGUUCAUGAUGCAUUUAAAAAUGUGAUAUUAGCUUGAUAUUGCUUAAAGAUUAAACAUUUAGCAUUUAUACAAUUAUGUGCACAGAGAAACAUUAGUAGUGAUGACUUUGUCCUUAGAGAGCCCAAGUACAUGAAGACUAAAAAAGACAAGAAAGAUUGGUUCUGGAUACUAAUAAUGGUCAGGUUUAGGCAGGGCUGGACUGGACUGGAACAAAAAAACGGCCCAGGCAAUUUUGGCCAUGACGGACCACCGUGAUUACACUAUACAGAGGCACAUACCAGAGGAUAUGUGUGCAUGUUUUGUCAUUUCAAAAAUUAAUAUAAAGUGCAGCAGCCUACAUUAAAGAGAUUAACCAUGUUAAAAAAUAGAUAUGCUCUUUUACUAAUUACAGUCAUCUUGGGAGAUGGCCACAAUGUCAUAAAUCCAAUCUUGAAGUGAAAGAGGGGUCAAAGAAACACUGCUAGUAAUGUCUUUUUAAUGUUCAAUAAAUAAAGUGUUUGUAAAAAUCCACAACUAUGCCCACACUAAAACCAUACAUGUAAAAUAAAGAGACACCCCAUCAGAGUGGCACCUUAAAGUAUGAAAAACAGAGAGAGAAUGAGAAUGAGAAAGAUGCCGAGACAAUAAUUUGAGAGAUACAGAAAAAAAAAAGUGUAACUUCUGAUCCCUUCUGAUGCACAACAAGCCCAAAUGAGCAACUGCACUUUUGGAACAAGCCCAAAAAAAUUGCAACCCUCAAUUCACAAAAUUUACAAGAACUUGUUAAAAAAGAAGCCAAAUUGGCUUAUAAUAAGCAGACCUGGCAACUAUGGCUCCUGCGUAGUUGUGCAUGCACAACAUGACUGAGGAGGUUUGGGGGUGUGCUGGGUUGACUUGGACAGUCACAAUAGCCAGGAAAUGGGAGUGAGGAAAAGGACAACGGAGCAUCCAUGUCUUGCUUUGAGCUGGGUGAUAAUAAAAGCAAGCCCAAAGUUGCUUGUAAUAAGCAGACUUGGCAACAAAGUUGUUGUCCCGGUCUGCCCUUCCUCAUGGGGUGCUCACACCAAGUGUGAGUAAAAUCAUCCACUCGCUUAUUUCACGCAAAUCUAGACAUGUGAAUAAUAGUAUUUCACACGAAUUACUCACUCGGAGCGACACCUGCUGGAUGCAUCAGCGGGUCAUUCAGAGAGUUUUUGUGGUUUCUGAAGAAACAAUCCAACUGAUGAUCAACAUUUGUGAUCCAGAGGGAGUCGAGCUCCGACGAGCACCACGUCUCUGACAGCGGCGGUAACCUACACCUGCAGAGACACCAACACCUUAUUAUGGCAUAUGAUAAACUAAAGCUCAAUGUCAUUCAUGGAUAUUUACAGCUGCAUAUUUGAGGCAUAAAGUGAAAUUGUACUUGGUUUGCAUUACUUUUUUGAGGACUCUUGCUCCUUCCUACAGGACGCUCUCCUACUAAGGGUCCAAUUACAUGACAGUGAAGGCACCUUUCAGUCAUGAUCUACUGUUAGUAUGGGAAAUACAGUUGUGAGUAAAAGUCAGGGCACCCCUUUUAAAAAAACAUAGUUUAUCUAUGAACAAAUUAACCUUGAUAUUUAUAGUCUCUCUGAUGAAUAGGGGGAAGAAAAUUAUCAGAAAUCAUUAACGCACAGUAACUUUUUAUUUUAUAAAAAGUACAAAAUUACAAAAAUAAAAAUCAUCUUCUUGGCAUGUGCAAAUGUCAGGGCUUCCUUCGGCAUCAGUACCUUCAGUACUUAGUAAGACCCCCUGUGGCAGAUAUCACAGCUUGUAAAUGCUUUUUAUAUCCAACUACAAAUCUCUGGAUUUUAUCCUUUGGGAUUUUUACCCAUUCUUCCUUGUAAAAGGCUUCAAGUUCUGCAAUAUUAUUGGGUCAUCUUGCAUGAACAGCUCUUUUAAGAAUAACCGGGCCUGGUUAGUUCAGUCAGUAGAGCAUGAGACUCUUAAUCUCAGGGUUGUGCAUUACAGACACACAAGGAAAACAAAAAAAUAAAUAAAUAAAUACAGAAAAGAACCGUAAUUAACAGCUCGGUUCGCUCAGUCGGUAGAGAAUGUGACUUUUAAUCUCAGCGUCGUGGCUUCAACUCCCACAUUGGGUGAAAUCUUUACUUAAGUACCACCUGCAUCACUGCGACCAUAGACCAACAGUGUCCUCAUCCUCAUCAGCAAGACUCCUUACAGUCAACACUCGAGCAACUGCGGGAAGCACUGCACAUAGGCAAAGUCAUAACUUUUCCUUGAUCUCAUUUCAACAUGUAAUGUCAACUACAACAACACUGCUGUCAUUUGACAUAUUGUUUGAUUGUAGACAACACAUUCAACCAGACACACACACACAAAAAAAGGAAACACCUUAAAUAUGGGCCCGGUUAGCUCAGUCGGUAGAGCAUGAGACUUUUAAUCUCAGGGUCGUGGGUUCAAGUCCCACAUUGGGCACAAUCUUUACAUGAGAACCACCUCUAUCACUGAGAUAAACUUACAAACAAUGCCAUAAACCAACAGUGUCCACAUCCUCAGCAUCAAGAUUCCUUACACUCAUUACUCGAGCAACUGCACAAAGAACUGCACAUGGCAAAGUCAUAACUUUUCCUUGAUCUCAGUUCAACAUGUAAUGUCAGCUGCAACAACACUGCUGUCAUUUGACAUAUUGUUUGAUUUUAGGCAACACAUACAACCAGACACAAACAGAAAAAAUUACUGAACAUGGGCCCGGUUAGCUCAGUCGGAAGAGCAUGAGACUCUUAAUCUCAGGGUUGUGGGUUCGAGCCCCACAUUGGGCGCAAUCUUUACAUAAGUACCACCUGUAUCACUUAGAGAUACUUAACAAACCGACAGUGUCCUUAUCCUUAGCAUCAAGACUCAUUACAAUCAACCCCUGAGCAACUGCAGGAAGCACUGAACAUGGCAAAGUCGUAAGUUAUCCUUGAUCUCAGUUCAACAUGUAAUGUCAACUGCAAAAACACUGCUGUCAUUUGACAUAUUGUUUGAUUGUAGACAACACAUUCAACCAGACACACACACAAAAAAAAAAAAAAAAUAAAAAAAAGGAAAUGACCAUAAAUAUGGGCCCGGUUAGCUCACUCGGUAGAGCAUGAGACUCUUAAUCUCAGGGUUGUGGGUUCGAGCCCCACAUUGGGCGCAAUCUUUACACAAGUACCACCUGUAUCACUAGAGAUACUUAACAAACGAACAGUGUCCUCAUCCUUAGCAUCAAGACUCAUUACAAUCAACCCUAGAGCAACUGCAGGAAUUACUGAACAUGGCAAAGUCAUAAGUUAUCCUUGAUCUCAGUUCAACAUGUAAUGUCAACUGCAAAAACAUUGCUGUCAUUUGACAUAUUGUUUGAUUGUAGACAACACAUUCAACCAGACACACACACAAAAAAAAAAAGAAAAAAAAAAAAGGAAAUGACCAUAAAUAUGGGCACGGUUAGCUCAGUCGGUAUAGCAUGAGACUUUUAAUCUCAGGGUCGUGGGUUCAAGUCCCACAUUGGGCGCAAUCUUUACAUGAGAACGACCUCUAUCACUGAGAUAAACUUAAACACAAUGCAAUAAACCAACCGUGUCCUCAUCCUCAGCAUCAAGAUUCCUUGCACUCAUUACUCGAGCAACUGCAGGAACAACUGCACAUGGCAAAGUCAUUACUUUUCCUUGAUCUCAGUUCAAAAUGUAAUGUCAGCUGCAACAACACUGCUGUCAUUUGACAUAUUGUUUGAUUUUAGGCAACACAUACAACCAGACACAAACAGAAAAAAGCCCUGAACAUGGGCCCAGUUAGCUCAGUCGGUAGAGCAUGAGACUCUUAAUCUCAGGGUCGUGGGUUCGAGCCCCACAUUGGGCGCAAUCUUUACAUAAGUACCACCUGUAUCACUUAGAAAUACUUAACAAACGAACAGUGUCCUCAUCCUUAGCCUCAAGACUCAUUACAGUCAACCUUAAGCAACUGCAGGAAGCACUGAACAUGGCAAAGUCGCAACUUUUCCAUGAUCUCAGUUCAACAUGUAAUGUCAACUGCAAAAACACUGCUGUCAUUUGACAUAUUGUUUGAUUGUAGACAACACAUUCAACCAGACACAUACACAAAAAAAAAAAAAAAAAAAAAAAAAGGAAAUGACCAUAAAUAUGGGCCCGGUUAGCUCAGUCGGUAGAGCAUGAGACUUUUAAUCUCAGGGUCGUGGGUUCAAGUCCCACAUUGGGCGCAAUCUUUACAUGAGAACGACCUCUAUCACUGAGAUAAACUUAAAAACAAUGCCAUAAACCAACACUGUCCUCAUCCAAAGCAUCAAGAUUCCUUGCACUCAUUACUCGAGCAACUGCAGGAAGAACUGCACAUGGCAAAGUCAUAACUUUUCCUUGAUCUCAGUUCAACAUGUAAUGUCAGCUGCAACAACACUGCUGUCAUUUGACAUAUUGUUUUAUUUUAGGCAACACAUACAACCAGACACAAACAGAAAAAAGCCCUGAACAUGGGCCCGGUUAGCUCAGUCGGUAGAGCAUGAGACUCUUAAUCUCAGGGUCGUGGGUUCGAGCCCCACAUUGGGCGCAAUCUUUACAUAAGUACCACCUGUAUCACUUAGAGAUACUUAACAAACGAACAGUGUCCUCAUCCUUAGCAUCAAGACUCAUUACAAUCAACCCUCGAGCAACUGCAGGAAGCACUGAACAUGGCAAAGUCAUAAGUUAUCCUUGAUCUCAGUUCAACAUGUAAUGUCAACUGCAAAAACACUGCUGUCAUUUGACAUAUUGUUUGAUUGUAGACAACACAUUCAACCAGACACACAAAAAAAAAAAAAAAAAAAAAAAAGGAAAUGAGCCUAAAUAUGGGCCCGGUUAGCUCAGUCGGUAGAGCAUGAGACUUUUAAUCUCAGGGUCGUGGGUUCAAGUCCCACAUUGGGCGCAAUCUUUACAUGAGAACGACCUCUAUCACUGAGAUAAACUUAAACACAAUGCAAUAAACCAACAGUGUCCUCAUCCUCAGCAUCAAGAUUCCUUGCAAACAUUACUCGAGCAACUGCAGGAACAACUGCACAUGGCAAAGUCAUUACUUUUCCUUGAUCUCAGUUCAAAAUGUAAUGUCAGCUGCAACAACACUGCUGUCAUUUGACAUAUUGUUUGAUUUUAGGCAACACAUACAACCAGACACAAACAGAAAAAAUUACUGAACAUGGGCCCGGUUAGCUCAGUCGGUAGAGCAUGAGACUCUUAAUCUCAGGGUCGUGGGUCCGAGCCCCACAUUGGGCGCAAUCUUUACAUAAGUACCACCUGUAUCACUUAGAGAUACUUAACAAACGAACAGUGUCCUCCUCCUUAGCAUCAAGACUCAUUACAAUCAACCUUAAGCAACUGCAGGAAGCACUGAACAUGGCAAAGUCGCAACUUUUCCAUGAUCUCAGUUCAACAUGUAAUGUCAACUGCAAAAACACUGCUGUCAUUUGACAUAUUGUUUGAUUGUAGACAACACAUUCAACCAGACACACACACAAAAAAAAAAAUAAAAAAAAAAGGAAAUGACCAUAAAUAUGGGCCCGGUUAGCUCAGUCGGUAGAGCAUGAGACUUUUAAUCUCAGGGUCGUGGGUUCAAGUCCCACAUUGGGCGCAAUCUUUACAUGAGAACGACCUCUAUCACUGAGAUAAACUUAAAAAACAAUGCCAUAAACCAACACUGUCCUCAUCCAAAGCAUCAAGAUUCCUUGCACUCAUUACUCGAGCAACUGCAGGAAGAACUGCACAUGGCAAAGUCAUAACUUUUCCUUGAUCUCAGUUCAACAUGUAAUGUCAGCUGCAACAACACUGCUGUCAUUUGACAUAUUGUUUUAUUUUAGGCAACACAUACAACCAGACACAAACAGAAAAAAAGCCCUGAACAUGGGCCCGGUUAGCUCAGUCGGUAGAGCAUGAGACUCUUAAUCUCAGGGUCGUGGGUUCGAGCCCCACAUUGGGCGCAAUCUUUACAUAAGUACCACCUGUAUCACUUAGAGAUACUUAACAAACGAACAGUGUCCUCAUCCUUAGCAUCAAGACUCAUUACAAUCAACCCUCGAGCAACUGCAGGAAGCACUGAACAUGGCAAAGUCAUAAGUUAUCCUUGAUCUCAGUUCAACAUGUAAUGUCAACCGCAAAAACACUGCUGUCAUUUGACAUAUUGUUUGAUUGUAGACAACACAUUGGACCAGACACACACAAAAAAAAAAAAAAAAAAAAGGAAAUGACCAUAAAUAUGGGCCCGGUUAGCUCAGUCGGUAGAGCAUGAGACUCUUAAUCUCAGGGUCGUGGGUUCGAGCCCCACAUUGGGCGCAAUCUUUACAUAAGUACCACCUGUAUCACUUAGAGAUACUUAACAAACGAACAGUGUCCUCCUCCUUAGCAUCAAGACUCAUUACAAUCAACCUUAAGCAACUGCAGGAAGCACUGAACAUGGCAAAGUCGCAACUUUUCCAUGAUCUCAGUUCAACAUGUAAUGUCAACUGCAAAAACACUGCUGUCAUUUGACAUAUUGUUUGAUUGUAGACAACACAUUCAACCAGACACAUACACAAAAAAAAAAAAAAAAAAAAAAAAAGGAAAUGACCAUAAAUAUGGGCCUGGUUAGCUCAGUCAGUAGAGCAUGAGACUUUUAAUCUCAGGGUCGUGGGUUCAAGUCCCACAUUGGGCGCAAUCUUUACAUGAGAACCACCUCUAUCACUGAGAUAAACUUAAACACAAUGCAAUAAACCAACAGUGUCCUCAUCCUCAGCAUCAAGAUUCCUUGCACUCAUUGCUCGAGCAACUGCAGGAACAACUGCACAUGGCAAAGUCAUUACUUUUCCUUGAUCUCAGUUCAAAAUGUAAUGUCAGCUGCAACAACACUGCUGUCAUUUGACAUAUUGUUUGAUUUUAGGCAACACAUACAACCAGACACAAACAGAAAAAAGCCCUGAACAUGGGCCCGGUUAGCUCAGUCGGUAGAGCAUGAGACUCUUAAUCUCAGGGUCGUGGGUUCGAGCCCCACAUUGGGCGCAAUCUUUACAUAAGUACCACCUGUAUCACUUAGAGAUACUUAACAAACGAACAGUGUCCUCAUCCUUAGCAUCAAGACUCAUUACAAUCAACCCUAGUGCAACUGCAGGAAUUACUGAACAUGGCAAAGUCAUAAAAUAUCCUUGAUCUCAGUUCAACAUGUAAUGUCAACUGCAAAAACAUUGCUGUCAUUUGACAUAUUGUUUGAUUGUAGACAACACAUUCAACCAGACACACACACCAAAAAAAAAAAAAAAAAAAAAAGAAAAUGACCAUAAAUAUGGGCACGGUUAGCUCAGUCGGUAUAGCAUGAGACUUUUAAUCUCAGGGUCGUGGGUUCAAGUCCCACAUUGGGCGCAAUCUUUGCAUGAGAACGACCUCUAUCACUGAGAUAAACUUAAACACAAUGCAAUAAACCAACAGUGUCCUCAUCCUCAGCAUCAAGAUUCCUUGCACUCAUUACUCGAGCAACUGCAGGAACAACUGCACAUGGCAAAGUCAUUACUUUUCCUUGAUCUCAGUUCAAAAUGUAAUGUCAGCUGCAACAACACUGCUGUCAUUUGACAUAUUGUUUGAUUUUAGGCAACACAUACAACCAGACACAAACAGAAAAAAUUACUGAACAUGGGCCCGGUUAGCUCAGUCGGUAGAGCAUGAGACUCUUAAUCUCAGUGUCGUGGGUUCGAGCCCCACAUUGGGCGCAAUCUUUACAUAAGUACCACCUGUAUCACUUAGAAAUACUUAACAAACGAACAGUGUCCUCAUCCUUAGCCUCAAGACUCAUUACAGUCAACCUUAAGCAACUGCAGGAAGCACUGAACAUGGCAAAGUCGCAACUUUUCCAUGAUCUCAUUUCAACAUGUAAUGUCAACUGCAAAAACAUUGCUGUCAUUUGACAUAUUGUUUGAUUGUAGACAACACAUUCAACCAGACACACACACAAAAAAAAAAAAAGGAAAUGACCAUAAAUAUGGGCCCGGUUAGCUCAGUCGGUAGAGCAUGAGACUUUUAAUCUCAGGGUCGUGGGUUCAAGUCCCACAUUGGGCGCAAUCUUUACAUGAGAACCACCUCUAUCACUGAGAUAAACUUAAAAACAAUGCCAUAAACCAACACUGUCCUCAUCCAAAGCAUCAAGAUUCCUUGCACUCAUUACUCGAGCAACUGCAGGAAGAACUGCACAUGGCAAAGUCAUAACUUUUCCUUGAUCUCAGUUCAACAUGUAAUGUCAGCUGCAACAACACUGCUGUCAUUUGACAUAUUGUUUUAUUUUAGGCAACACAUACAACCAGACACAAACAGAAAAAAUUACUGAACAUGGGCCCGGUUAGCUCAGUCGGUAGAGCAUGAGACUCUUAAUCUCAGGGUCGUGGGUUCGAGCCCCACAUUGGGCGCAAUCUUUACAUAAGUACCACCUGUAUCACUUAGAGAUACUUAACAAACGAACAGUGUCCUCCUCCUUAGCAUCAAGACUCAUUACAAUCAACCUUAAGCAACUGCAGGAAGCACUGAACAUGGCAAAGUCGCAACUUUUCCAUGAUCUCAGUUCAACAUGUAAUGUCAACUGCAAAAACACUGCUGUCAUUUGACAUAUUGUUUGAUUGUAGACAACACAUUCAACCAGACACAUACACAAAAAAAAAAAAAAAAAAAAAAAAAGGAAAUGACCAUAAAUAUGGGCCCGGUUAGCUCAGUCGGUAGAGCAUGAGACUUUUAAUCUCAGGGUCGUGGGUUCAAGUCCCACAUUGGGCGCAAUCUUUACAUGAGAACCACCUCUAUCACUGAGAUAAACUUAAACACAAUGCAAUAAACCAACAGUGUCCUCAUCCUCAGCAUCAAGAUUCCUUGCACUCAUUGCUCGAGCAACUGCAGGAACAACUGCACAUGGCAAAGUCAUUACUUUUCCUUGAUCUCAGUUCAAAAUGUAAUGUCAGCUGCAACAACACUGCUGUCAUUUGACAUAUUGUUUGAUUUUAGGCAACACAUACAACCAGACACAAACAGAAAAAAUUACUGAACAUGGGCCCGGUUAGCUCAGUCGGUAGAGCAUGAGACUCUUAAUCUCAGGGUCGUGGGUUCGAGCCCCACAUUGGGCGCAAUCUUUACAUAAGUACCACCUGUAUCACUUAGAGAUACUUAACAAACGAACAGUGUCCUCAUCCUUAGCAUCAAGACUCAUUACAAUCAACCCUAGAGCAACUGCAGGAAUUACUGAACAUGGCAAAGUCAUAAUUUAUCCUUGAUCUCAGUUCAACAUGUAAUGUCAACUGCAAAAACAUUGCUGUCAUUUGACAUAUUGUUUGAUUGUAGACAACACAUUCAACCAGACACACACACCAAAAAAAAAAAAGAAAAAAAAAAGGAAAUGACCAUAAAUAUGGGCACGGUUAGCUCAGUCGGUAUAGCAUGAGACUUUUAAUCUCAGGGUCGUGGGUUCAAGUCCCACAUAGGGCGCAAUCUUUACAUGAGAACGACCUCUAUCACUGAGAUAAACUUAAACACAAUGCAAUAAACCAACAGUGUCCUCAUCCUCAGCAUCAAGAUUCCUUGCACUCAUUACUCGAGCAACUGCAGGAACAACUGCACAUGGCAAAGUCAUUACUUUUCCUUGAUCUCAGUUCAAAAUGUAAUGUCAGCUGCAACAACACUGCUGUCAUUUGACAUAUUGUUUGAUUUUAGGCAACACAUACAACCAGACACAAACAGAAAAAAGCCCUGAACAUGGGCCCGGUUAGCUCAGUCGGUAGAGCAUGAGACUCUUAAUCUCAGUGUCAUGGGUUCGAGCCCCACAUUGGGCGCAAUCUUUACAUAAGUACCACCUGUAUCACUUAGAAAUACUUAACAAACGAACAGUGUCCUCAUCCUUAGCCUCAAGACUCAUUACAGUCAACCUUAAGCAACUGAAGGAAGCACUGAACAUGGCAAAGUUGCAACUUUUCCAUGAUCUCAUUUCAACAUGUAAUGUCAACUGCAAAAACACUGCUGUCAUUUGACAUAUUGUUUGAUUGUAGACAACACAUUCAACCAGACACAUACACAAAAAAAAAAAAAAAAAAAAAAAAAGGAAAUGACCAUAAAUAUGGGCCCGGUUAGCUCAGUCGGUAGAGCAUGAGACUUUUAAUCUCAGGGUCGUGGGUUCAAGUCCCACAUUGGGCGCAAUCUUUACAUGAGAACCACCUCUAUCACUGAGAUAAACUUAAAAACAAUGCCAUAAACCAACACUGUCCUCAUCCAAAGCAUCAAGAUUCCUUGCACUCAUUACUCGAGCAACUGCAGGAAGAACUGCACAUGGCAAAGUCAUAACUUUUCCUUGAUCUCAGUUCAACAUGUAAUGUCAACUGCAAAAACACUGCUGUCAUUUGACAUAUUGUUUGAUUGUAGACAACACAUUCAACCAGACACACACACAAAAAAAAAUAAAUAUAAAAAAAAGGAAAUGACCAUAAAUAUGGGCCCGGUUAGCUCAGUCGGUAGAGCAUGAGACUUUUAAUCUCAGGGUCGUGGGUUCAAGUCCCACAUUGGGCGCAAUCUUUACAUGAGAACCACCUCUAUCACUGAGAUAAACUUAAAAACAAUGCAAUAAACCAACAGUGUCCUCAUCCUCAGCAUCAAGAUUCCUUGCACUCAUUACUCGAGCAACUGCACAUGGCAAAGUCAUUACUUUUCCUUGAUCUCAGUUCAAAAUGUAAUGUCAGCUGCAACAACACUGCUGUCAUUUGACAUAUUGUUUGAUUUUAGGCAACACAUACAACCAGACACAAACAGAAAAAAGCCCUGAACAUGGGCCCGGUUUGCUCAGUCGGUAGAGCAUGAGACUCUUAAUCUCAGGGUCGUGGGUUCGAGCCCCACAUUGGGCGCAAUCUUUACAUAAGUACCACCUGUAUCACUUAGAGAUACUUAACAAACGAACAGUGUCCUCAUCCUUAGCAUCAAGACUCAUUACAAUCAUCCUUAAGCAACUGCAGGAAGCACUGAACAUGGCAAAGUCGCAACUUUUCCAUGAUCUCAGUUCAACAUGUAAUGUCAACUGCAAAAACACUGCUGUCAUUUGACAUAUUGUUUGAAUGUAGACAACACAUUCAACCAGACACAUAAACAAAAAAAGAAAAAAAAAAAAAAGGAAAUGACCAUAAAUAUGGGCCCGGUUAGCUCAGUCGGUAGAGCAUGAGACUUUUAAUCUCAGGUUCGUGGGUUCAAGUCCCACAUUGGGCGCAAUCUUUGCAUGAGAACCACCUCUAUCACUGUGAUAAACUUAAAAACAAUGCCAUAAACCAACACUGUCCUCAUCCAAAGCAUCAAGAUUCCUUGCACUCAUUACUCGAGCAACUGCAGGAAGAACUGCACAUGGCAAAGUCAUAACUUUUCCUUGAUCUCAGUUCAACAUGUAAUGUCAGCUGCAACAACACUGCUGUCAUUUGACAUAUUGUUUUAUUUUAGGCAACACAUACAACCAGACACAAACAGAAAAAAGCCCUGAACAUGGGCCCGGUUAGCUCAGUCGGUAGAGCAUGAGACUCUAAUUCUCAGGGUCGUGGGUUCGAGCCCCACAUUGGGCGCAAUCUUUACAUAAGUACCACCUGUAUCACUUAGAGAUACUUAACAAACGAACAGUGUCCUCAUCCUUAGCAUCAAGACUCAUUACAAUCAACCCUCGAGCAACUGCAGGAAGCACUGAACAUGGCAAAGUCUUAAGUUAUCCUUGAUCUCAGUUCAACAUGUAAUGUCAACUGCAAAAACACUGCUGUCAUUUGACAUAUUGUUUGAUUGUAGACAACACAUUCAACCAGACACACACAAAAAAAAAAAAAAAAAAAAAAAGCAAAAAGAAAUGACCAUAAAUAUGGGCCCGGUUAGCUCAGUCGGUAGAGCAUGAGACUUUUAAUCUCAGGGUCGUGGGUUCAAGUCCCACAUUGGGCGCAAUCUUCACAUGAGAACGACCUCUAUCACUGAGAUAAACUUAAAAACAAUGCAAUAAACCAACAGUGUCCUCAUCCUCAGCAUCAAGAUUCCUUGCACUCAUUACUCGAGCAACUGCACAUGGCAAAGUCAUUACUUUUCCUUGAUCUCAGUUCAAAAUGUAAUGUCAGCUGCAACAACACUGCUGUCAUUUGACAUAUUGUUUGAUUUUAGGCAACACAUACAACCAGACACAAACAGAAAAAAGCCCUGAACAUGGGCCCGGUUUGCUCAGUCGGUAGAGCAUGAGACUCUUAAUCUCAGGGUCGUGGGUUCGAGCCCCACAUUGGGCGCAAUCUUUACAUAAGUACCACCUGUAUCACUUAGAGAUACUUAACAAACGAACAGUGUCCUCAUCCUUAGCAUCAAGACUCAUUACAAUCAUCCUUAAGCAACUGCAGGAAGCACUGAACAUGGCAAAGUCGCAACUUUUCCAUGAUCUCAGUUCAACAUGUAAUGUCAACUGCAAAAACACUGCUGUCAUUUGACAUAUUGUUUGAAUGUAGACAACACAUUCAACCAGACACAUAAACAAAAAAAAAAAAAAAAAAAAAAAAGGAAAUGACCAUAAAUAUUGGCCCGGUUAGCUCAGUCGGUAGAGCAUGAGACUUUUAAUCUCAGGGUCGUGGGUUAAAGUCCCACAUUGGGCGCAAUCUUUGCAUGAGAACCACCUCUAUCACUGAGAUAAACUUAAAAACAAUGCCAUAAACCAACACUGUCCUCAUCCAAAUCAUCAAGAUUCCUUGCACUCAUUACUCGAGCAACUGCAAGGAAGAACUGCACAUGGCAAAGUCAUUACUUUUCCUUGAUCUCAGUUCAAAAUGUAAUGUCAGCUGCAACAACACUGCUGUCAUUUGACAUAUUGUUUGAUUUUAGGCAACACAUACAACCAGACACAAACAGAAAAAAUUACUGAACAUGGGCCCGGUUAGCUCAGUCGGUAGAGCAUGAGACUCUUAAUCUCAGGGUCGUGGGUUCGAGCCCCACAUUGGGCGCAAUCUUUACAUAAGUACCACCUGUAUCACUUAGAGAUACUUAACAAACGAACAGUGUCCUCAUCCUUAGCAUCAAGACUCAUUACAAUCAACCCUCGAGCAACUGCAGGAAGCACUGAACAUGGCAAAGUCAUAAGUUAUCCUUGAUCUCAGUUCAACAUGUAAUGUCAACUGCAAAAACACUGCUGUCAUUUGACAUAUUGUUUGAUUGUAGACACCACAUACAACCAUACACAAAAAAAAAAAAAAAAAAAAAAAGGAAAUGAGCCUAAAUAUGGGCCCGGUUAGCUCAGUCGGUAGAGCAUGAGACUUUUAAUCUUAGGGUCGUGGGUUCAAGUCCCACAUUGGGCGCAAUCUUUACAUGAGAACGACCUCUAUCACUGAGAUAAACUUAAACACAAUGCAAUAAACCAACAGUGUCCUCAUCCUCAGCAUCAAGAUUCCUUGCACUCAUUACUCGAGCAACUGCAGGAACAACUGCACAUGGCAAAGUCAUAACUUUUCCUUGAUCUCAGUUCAACAUGUAAUGUCAGCUGCAACAACACUGCUGUCAUUUGACAUAUUGUUUCAUUUUAGGCAACACAUACAACCAGACACAAACAGAAAAAAUUACUGAACAUGGGCCCGGUUAGCUCAGUCGGUAGAGCAUGAGACUCUUAAUCUCAGGGUCGUGGGUUCGAGCCCCACAUUGGGCGCAAUCUUUACAUAAGUACCACCUGUAUCACUUAGAGAUACUUAACAAACGAACAGUGUCCUCAUCCUUAGCAUCAAGACUCAUUACAAUCAACCCUAGAGCAACUGCAGGAAUUACUGAACAUGGCAAAGUCAUAAGUUAUCCUUGAUCUCAGUUCAACAUGUAAUGUCAACUGCAAAAAACUGCUGUCAUUUGACAUAUUGUUUUAUUGUUGACAACACAUUCAACCAGACACACACACACACAAAAAAAAAAGAAAAAAAGGAAAUGAGCCUAAAUAUGGGCCCGGUUAGCUCAGUCGGUAGAGCAUGAGACUUUUAAUCUCAGGGUCGUGGGUUCAAGUCCCACAUUGGGCGCAAUCUUUACAUGAGAACCACCUCUAUCACUGAGAUAAACUUAAAAACAAUGCCAUAAGCCAACAGUGUCCUCAUCCUCAGCAUCAAGAUUCCUUGCACUCAUUACUCGAGCAACUGCAGGAAGAACUGCACAUGGCAAAGUCAUUACUUUUCCUUGAUCUCAGUUCAAAAUGUAAUGUCAGCUGCCACAACACUGCUGUCAUUUGACAUAUUGUUUGAUGUUAGGCAACACAUACAACCAGACACAAACAGAAAAAAUUACUGAACAUGGGCCUUGUUAGCUCAGUCGGUAGAGCAUGAGACUUUUAAUCUCAGGGUCAUGGGUUCAAGUCCCACAUUGGGUGCAAUCUAUACAUGAGAACCACCUCUAUCACUGAGAUAAACUUAAAAACAAUGCCAUAAACCAACAGUGUCCUCAUCCUCAGCAUCAAGAUUCCUUACACUCAUUACUCGAGCAACUGCAGGAAGAAUUGCACAUGGGAAAGUCGUAACUUUUCCUUGAUCUCAGUUCAACAUAUAAUGUCAGCUGCAACAACACUGCUAUCAUUUGACAUAUUGUUUUAUUUUAGACAACACAUUCAACCAGACACACACACAAAAAAAAAAAAAAAAAAAAAAGGAAAUGACCAUUAAUAUGGGCCCGGUUAGCUCAGUCGGUAGAGCAUGAGACUUUUAAUCUCAGGGUCGAGGGUUCAAGUCCCACAUUGGGCGCAUUCUUUACAUGAGUACCAACUGUAUCACUGAGAUAAACCUAACAACAAUGCCAUAAUGCCAUAAACAACACUGUCCUCAUCCUCAGCAUCAAGAUUCCUUACACUCAUUACUCGAGCAACUGCAGGAAGAACUGCACAUGGCAAAGUCAUAACUUUUCCUUGAUCUCAGUUCAACAUGUAAUGUCAACUGCAAAAACACUGCUGUCAUUUGACAUAUUGUUUGAUUGUAGACAACACAUUCAACCAGACACACACACAAAAAAAAAAAAAAAAAAAAAAAAAAGGGAAAUGACCAUAAAUAUGGGCCCGGUUAGCUCAGUCGGUAGAGCAUGAGACUUUUAAUCUCAGGGUCGUGGGUUCAAGUCCCACAUUGGGCGCAAUCUUUACAUGAGAACGACCUCUAUCACUGAGAUAAACUUAAACACAAUGCAAUAAACCAACAGCGUCCUCAUCCUCAGCAUCAAGAUUCCUUGCACUCAUUACUCGAGCAACUGCAGGAACAACUGCACAUGUGCAAAGUCAUUACUUUUCCUUGAUCUCAGUUCAACAUGUAAUGUCAGCUGCAACAACACUGCUGUCAUUUGACAUAUUGUUUUAUUUUAGGCAACACAUACAACCAGACACAAACAGAAAAAAUUACUGAACAUGGGCCCGGUUAGCUCAGUCGGUAGAGCAUGAGACUCUUAAUCUCAGGGUCGUGGGUUCGAGCCCCACAUUGGGCGCAAUCUUUACAUAAGUACCACCUGUAUCACUUAGAGAUACUUAACAAACGAACAGUGUCCUCAUCCUUAGCAUCAAGACUCAUUACAAUCAACCUCGAGCAACUGCAGGAAGCACUGAACAUGGCAAAGUCGCAACUUUUCCAUGAUCUCAGUUCAACAUGUAAUGUCAACUGCAAAAACACUGCUGUCAUUUGACAUAUUGUUUGAUUGUAGACAACACAUUCAACCAGACACACACACAAAAAAAAAAAAAAAAAAAAAAGGAAAUGAGCCUAAAUAUGGGCCCGGUUAGCUCAGUCGGUAGAGCAUGAGACUUUUAAUCUCAGGGUCGUGGGUUCAAGUCCCACAUUGGGCGCAAUCUUUACAUGAGAACCACCUCUAUCACUGAGAUAAACUUAAAAACAAUGCAAUAAACCAACACUGUCCUCAUCCUCAGCAUCAAGAUUCCUUGCACUCAUUACUGGAGCAACUGCAGGAAGAACUGCACAUGGCAAAGUCAUUACUUUUCCUUGAUCUCAGUUCAAAAUGUAAUGUCAGCUGCAACAACACUGCUGUCAUUUGGCAUAUUGUUUGAUUUUAGGCAACACAUACAACCAGACACAAACAGAACAAAUUACUGAACAUGGGCCCGGUUAGCUCAGUCGGUAGAGCAUGAGACUCUUAAUCUCAGGGUCGUGGGUUCGAGCCCCACAUUGGGCGCAAUCUUUACAUAAGUACCACCUGUAUCACUUAGAGAUACUUAACAAACGAACAGUGUCCUCAUCCUUAGCAUCAAGACUCAUUACAAUCAACCCUCGAGCAACUGCAGGAAGCACUGAACAUGGCAAAGUCAUAAGUUAUCCUUGAUCUCAGUUCAACAUGUAAUGUCAACUGCAAAAACACUGCUGUCAUUUGACAUAUUGUUUGAUUGUAGACAACACAUUCAACCAGACACACACAAAAAAAAAAAAAAAAAAAAAAAGGAAAUGAGCCUAAAUAUGGGCCCGGUUAGCUCAGUCGGUAGAGCAUGAGACUUUUAAUCUCAGGGUCGUGGGUUCAAGUCCCACAUUGGGCGCAAUCUUUACAUGAGAACCACCUCUAUCACUGAGAUAAACUUAAAAACAAUGCCAUAAACCAACAGUGUCCUCAUCCUCAGCAUCAAGAUUCCUUGCACUCAUUACUCGAGCAACUGCAGGAAGAACUGCACAUGGCAAAGUCAUUACUUUUCCUUGAUCUCAGUUCAAAAUGUAAUGUCAGCUGCCACAACACUGCUGUCAUUUGACAUAUUGUUUGAUUUUAGGCAACACAUACAACCAGACACAAACAGAAAAAAUUACUGAACAUGGGCCUGUUAGCUCAGUCGGUAGAGCAUGAGACUUUUAAUCUCAGGGUCAUGGGUUCAAGUCCCACAUUGGGUGCAAUCUAUACAUGAGAACCACCUCUAUCACUGAGAUAAACUUAAAAACAAUGCCAUAAACCAACAGUGUCCUCAUCCUCAGCAUCAAGAUUCCUUACACUCAUUACUCGAGCAACUGCAGGAAGAAUUGCACAUGGGAAAGUCGUAACUUUUCCUUGAUCUCAGUUCAACAUAUAAUGUCAGCUGCAACAACACUGCUGUCAUUUGACAUAUUGUUUUAUUUUAGACAACACAUUCAACCAGACACACACACAAAAAAAAAAAAAAAAAAAAGGAAAUGACCAUUAAUAUGGGCCCGGUUAGCUCAGUCGGUAGAGCAUGAGACUUUUAAUCUCAGGGUCGAGGGUUCAAGUCCCACAUUGGGCGCAUUCUUUACAUGAGUACCAACUGUAUCACUGAGAUAAACCUAACAACAAUGCCAUAAACAACACUGUCCUCAUCCUCAGCAUCAAGAUUCCUUACACUCAUUACUCGAGCAACUGCAGGAAGCACUGAACAUGGCAAAGUCAUAACUUUUCCUUGAUCUCAGUUCAACAUGUAAUGUCAACUGCAAAAACACUGCUGUCAUUUGACAUAUUGUUUGAUUGUAGACACCACAUUCAACCAGACACACACAAAAAAAAAAAAAAAAAAAAAGGAAAUGAGCCUAAAUAUGGGCCCGGUUAGCUCAGUCGGUAGAGCAUGAGACUUUUAAUCUUAGGGUCGUGGGUUCAAGUCCCACAUUGGGCGCAAUCUUUACAUGAGAACGACCUCUAUCACUGAGAUAAACUUAAACACAAUGCAAUAAACCAACAGUGUCCUCAUCCUCAGCAUCAAGAUUCCUUGCACUCAUUACUCGAGCAACUGCAGGAACAACUGCACAUGGCAAAGUCAUAACUUUUCCUUGAUCUCAGUUCAACAUGUAAUGUCAGCUGCAACAACACUGCUGUCAUUUGACAUAUUGUUUUAUUUUAGGCAACACAUACAACCAGACACAAACAGAAAAAAUUACUGAACAUGGGCCCGGUUAGCUCAGUCGGUAGAGCAUGAGACUCUUAAUCUCAGGGUCGUGGGUUCGAGCCCCACAUUGGGCGCAAUCUUUACAUAAGUACCACCUGUAUCACUUAGAGAUACUUAACAAACGAACAGUGUCCUCAUCCUUAGCAUCAAGACUCAUUACAAUCAACCCUAGAGCAACUGCAGGAAGCACUGAACAUGGCAAAGUCAUAAGUUAUCCUUGAUCUCAGUUCAACAUGUAAUGUCAACUGCAAAAAACUGCUGUCAUUUGACAUAUUGUUUGAUUGUAGACAACACAUUCAACCAGACACACACACAAAAAAAAAAAAAAAAAAAAAAGGAAAUGAGCCUAAAUAUGGGCCCGGUUAGCUCAGUCGGUAGAGCAUGAGACUUUUAAUCUCAGGGUCGUGGGUUCAAGUCCCACAUUGGGCGCAAUCUUUACAUGAGAACCACCUCUAUCACUGAGAUAAACUUAAAAACAAUGCCAUAAACCAACAGUGUCCUCAUCCUCAGCAUCAAGAUUCCUUGCACUCAUUACUCGAGCAACUGCAGGAAGAACUGCACAUGGCAAAGUCAUUAACUUUUCCUUGAUCUCAGUUCAACAUGUAAUGUCAGCUGCAACAACACUGCUGUCAUUUGACAUAUUGUUUGAUUUAGGCAACACAUACAACCAGACACAAACAGAAAAAAUUACUGAACAAAUGGGCCUUGUUAGCUCAGUCGGUAGAGCAUGAGACUUUUAAUCUCAGGGUCAUGGGUUCAAGUCCCACAUUGGGUGCAAUCUAUACAUGAGAACCACCUCUAUCACUGAGAUAAACUUAAAAACAAUGCCAUAAACCAACAGUGUCCUCAUCCUCAGCAUCAAGAUUCCUUACACUCAUUACUCGAGCAACUGCAGGAAGAAUUGCACAUGGGAAAGUCGUAACUUUUCCUUGAUCUCAGUUCAACAUAUAAUGUCAGCUGCAACAACACUGCUGUCAUUUGACAUAUUGUUUUAUUUUAGACAACACAUUCAACCAGACACACACACAAAAAAAAAAAAAAAAAAAAACGGAAAUGACCAUUAAUAUGGGCCCGGUUAGCUCAGUCGGUAGAGCAUGAGACUUUUAAUCUCAGGGUCGAGGGUUCAAGUCCCACAUUGGGCGCAUUCUUUACAUGAGUACCAACUGUAUCACUGAGAUAAACCUAACAACAAUGCCAUAAUGCCAUAAACAACACUGUCCCUCCUCAGCAUCAAGAUUCCUUACACUCAUUACUCGAGCAACUGCAGGAAGAACUGCACAUGGCAAAGUCAUAACUUUUCCUUGAUCUCAGUUCAACAUGUAAUGUCAACUGCAAAAACACUGCUGUCAUUUGACAUAUUGUUUGAUUGUAGACAACACAUUCAACCAGACACACACACAAAAAAAAAAAAAAAAAAAAAGGAAAUGACCAUAAAUAUGGGCCCGGUUAGCUCAGUCGGUAGAGCAUGAGACUUUUAAUCUCAGGGUCGUGGGUUCAAGUCCCACAUUGGGCGCAAUCUUUACAUGAGAACGACCUCUAUCACUGAGAUAAACUUAAACACAAUGCAAUAAACCAACAGCGUCCUCAUCCUCAGCAUCAAGAUUCCUUGCACUCAUUACUCGAGCAACUGCAGGAACAACUGCACAUGUGCAAAGUCAUUACUUUUCCUUGAUCUCAGUUCAACAUGUAAUGUCAGCUGCAACAACACUGCUGUCAUUUGACAUAUUGUUUUAUUUUAGGCAACACAUACAACCAGACACAAACAGAAAAAAUUACUGAACAUUGGCCCGGUUAGCUCAGUCGGUAGAGCAUGAGACUCUUAAUCUCAGGGUCGUGGGUUCGAGCCCCACAUUGGGCGCAAUCUUUACAUAAGUACCACCUGUAUCACUUAGAGAUACUUAACAAACAAACAGUGUCCUCAUCCUUAGCCUCAAGACUCAUUACAGUCAACCUCAAGCAACUGCAGGAAGCACUGAACAUGGCAAAGUCGCAACUUUUCCAUGAUCUCAGUUCAACAUGUAAUGUCAACUGCAAAAACACUGCUGUCAUUUGACAUAUUGUUUGAUUGUAGACACCACAUUCAACCAGACACACACAAAAAAAAAAAAAAAAAAAAAAAAGGAAAUGAGCCUAAAUAUGGGCCCGGUUAGCUCAGUCGGUAGAGCAUGAGACUUUUAAUCUCAGGGUCGUGGGUUCAAGUCCCACAUUGGGCGCAAUCUUUACAUGAGAACCACCUCUAUCACUGAGAUAAACUUAAAAACAAUGCAAUAAACCAACACUGUCCUCAUCCUCAGCAUCAAGAUUCCUUGCACUCAUUACUGGAGCAACUGCAGGAAGAACUGCACAUGGCAAAGUCAUUACUUUUCCUUGAUCUCAGUUCAAAAUGUAAUGUCAGCUGC